rnacentral:rRNA from 1 species
CGAUCCGGAGGCCAAAAUACCCCACGAAAAGACCGUCCCAGUUCGGAUUGCAGUCUGCAACUCGACUGCAUGAAGCCGGAAUCGCUAGUAAUCGCGGAUCAGAAUGCCGCGGUGAAUACGUUCCCGGGUCUUGUACACACCGCCCGUCACACCAUGGGAGUCGGAAAUGCCCGAAGUCUGUGACCCAACCUUAGGGAGGGAGCAGCCGAAGGCAGGUCGGAUGACUGGGGUGAAGUCGUAACAAGGUAGC